rnacentral:rRNA from 1 species
UUCCGGUUGAUCCCGCCGGACCUGACUGCUAUCGGAUUGAUACUAAGCCAUGCGAGUCAUUGUAGCAAUACAAGGCAUACGGCUCAGUAACGCGUAGUCAACCUAACCUAUGGACGGGAAUAACCUCGGGAAACUGAGAAUAAUGCCCGAUAGAACACUAUACCUGGAAUGGUUUGUGUUCCAAAUGAUUUAUCGCCAUAGGAUGGGACUGCGGUCUAUCAGUUUGUUGGUGAGGUAAUGGCCCACCAAGACUAUUACAGGUACGGGCUCUGAGAGGAGUAGCCCGGAGAUGGGUACUGAGACACGGACCCAGGCCCUAUGGGGCGCAGCAGGCGAGAAAACUUUGCAAUGUGCGAAAGCACGACAAGGUUAAUCCGAGUGAUUUGUGCUAAACGAAUCUUUUGUUAGUCCUAGAAACACUAACGAAUAAGGGGUGGGCAAGUUCUGGUGUCAGCCGCCGCGGUAAAACCAGCACCUCAAGUGGUCAGGAUGAUUAUUGGGCCUAAAGCAUCCGUAGCCGGCUCUGUAAGUUUUCGGUUAAAUCUGUACGCUUAACGUACAGGCUGCCGGGAAUACUGCAGAGCUAGGGAGUGGGAGAGGUAGACGGUACUCGGUAGGAAGUGGUAAAAUGCUUUGAUCUAUCGAUGACCACCUGUGGCGAAGGCGGUCUACCAGAACACGUCCGACGGUGAGGGAUGAAAGCUGGGGGAGCAAACCGGAUUAGAUACCCGGGUAGUCCCAGCUGUAAACUAUGCAAACUCAGUGAUGCAUUGGCUUGUGGCCAAUGCAGUGCUGCAGGGAAGCCGUUAAGUUUGCCGCCUGGGAAGUACGUACGCAAGUAUGAAACUUAAAGGAAUUGGCGGGGGAGCACCACAAGGGGUGAAGCCUGCGGUUCAAUUGGAUUCAACGCCGGG